rnacentral:rRNA from 1 species
UACGUAGGGGGCUAGCGUUGUCCGGAAUCACUGGGCGUAAAGCGUGCGUAGGCGGCUUAGCAAGUCAGGGGUGAAAUGCCAAGGCUUAACCUUGGAACUGCCUUUGAAAGUGUUGAGCUGGAGUGUCGGAGGGGAUAGCGGAAUUUCUAAUGUAGCGGUGAAAUGCGUAGAUAUUAGAAGGAACACCGGUGGCGAAGGCGGCUAUCUGGACGACAACUGACGCUGAGGCACGAAAGCGUGGGGAGCAAACAGG